rnacentral:rRNA from 1 species
UUGAACUAAAAUUUUUAUGGUUUUAAUUGCCCGAAGUGAAAAGAGCUAACUAAAUUAAUUGUGCCUUUUAGGGAAAUAAACGAAAUGUAGCAAAAUUUCUGUAUAUAGGCUUAGUUAGGAGUGAUAGGCUUCUCAUUUUUCAUUUAUAACUGGAUUAAACUUAAAAAUAUUAAGUAUUUAGGACAAACUCACAAAUCUAAGCUUUUGAGUUUUAUAAAAUAUGGUUAAAUACUAAGUAAAAUAAUUUUAUUAAUAUAAUAUUAACUAACUUAGUAAACAAUAAGUAUACUUUCUUUUUAGUGUCUUACGUUUAUAUAUUCAAGAAAAAUACUAUAAGUUUCAAUAUAAAUAAUGUUUAAAUGAGUAUAAAAGUUUUUAAAAAAAUAAAGGAACUCGGCAAAAAUUAUCUUCAACUGUUUACCAAAAACAUAGCUAGUCGGAUAUAUAACUAGCGUGCUCUGCCCGGUGAUAUAAAAUUUAACGGCCGCAGUACACUGACUGUGCAAAGGUAGCAUAAUCAAUUGGCUAUUAAUUGUAGUCGAGUAUGAAAGAGUCCAUGGGGAAAAGCUGUCUUUAUUUUUUUUUCUAAAAUUUACUAAGCAAGUGCAAAUUCUUGCAGUACACCCAUAAUAGACGAGAAGACCCUAUAAAUUUUUACUAUACAGGUUAUAUUCACCUAAGCCAUUUUUGUUGGGGCAACAAAUUAACAGAAUAAAGUAAAUUUAAUUAUAAUAACUAAAAAUACAACGGGUUUUACUAAAAAUAACUAAAUUACUAUAGGGAUAACAGCAUAAUUUUAAUAGUAAGAUUGUGACCUCGAUGUUGGAUUAGGAACUUACCAAAUUAACAGUUUGACUAAGGAGUUCUGUUCGAACUUUUGAUACCUACAUGAUCUGAGUUCAGACCGG